rnacentral:rRNA from 1 species
CGACUCCUACGGGAGGCAGCAGUGGGGAAUCUUGGACAAUGGGGGCAACCCUGAUCCAGCCAUGCCGCGUGAGUGAUGAAGGCCUUAGGGUCGUAAAGCUCUUUCGCCUGUGAUGAUAAUGACAGUAGCAGGUAAAGAAACCCCGGCUAACUCCGUGCCAGCAGCCGCGGUAAUACGGAGGGGGUUAGCGUUGUUCGGAAUUACUGGGCGUAAAGCGCGCGUAGGCGGAUUAGUCAGUUAGAGGUGAAAUCCCAGGGCUCAACCCUGGAACUGCCUUUAAUACUGCUAGUCUUGAGUUCGAGAGAGGUGAGUGGAAUUCCGAGUGUAGAGGUGAAAUUCGUAGAUAUUCGGAGGAACACCAGUGGCGAAGGCGGCUCACUGGCUCGAUACUGACGCUGAGGUGCGAAAGUGUGGGGAGCAAACAGGAUUAGAUACCCUGGUAG